rnacentral:rRNA from 1 species
UACGGAGGGUGCAAACGUUGCUCGGAAUCAUUGGGCGUAAAGCGCACGUAGGCGGCCUGACAAGUCGGGUGUGAAAGCCCUGGGCUCAACCCAGGAAGUGCACUCGAAACUGCCAGGCUUGAAUAUGGAAGAGGGAUGCGGAAUUCCAGGUGUAGCGGUGAAAUGCGUAGAUAUCUGGAGGAACACCGGUGGCGAAGGCGGCAUCCUGGACCGGUAUUGACGCUGAGGCGCGAAAGCCAGGGGAGCAAACAGG